AGCAUGUAGGCGGAACGACCAGGUAAAUCCGGUCGUUUUUUAACGCUGAGGUGUGAUGACGAGGCACUACGGUGCUGAAGUAACAAAUGCCCUGCUUCCAGGAAAAGCCUCUAAGCAUCAGGUAACAUCAAAUCGUACCCCAAACCGACACAGGUGGUCAGGUAGAGAAUACCAAGGCGCUUGAGAGAACUCGGGUGAAGGAACUAGGCAAAAUGGUGCCGUAACUUCGGGAGAAGGCACGCUGAUAUGUAGGUGA
rnacentral:rRNA from 1 species